GAAGACCACCAUGGCGAAGAUGGAGAUGCCGACGCCGAGGAAGAGGAGGAGGAGGCCGACUUCCUCGUAGCACUGAGCGAUGGUCAUACCCAGAGACUUGAGACCUGGACAGAGAGGAGGACAGAGGAGUAAAGCUCAAAGCUGCACGAGAAGAAACAAACCGAGGUGAAUCUCCGAUUCUUACCUGGUCUAAAUGAAGAGAGUCUUCAGCAUCUUUGUUGGAUGUGAACUCCACAUUAUCACGAAUCCUACGAAGUAAAAUCCUGAGAAAGAUGUUUGAAUCUCCUGGCAGCUGACUCGUCCUCCCGGCCCGCUGACCACUCAUCAACGACGUCCGUCUCCUGAAGCAACUACAGCAGCACCAGACUGUGAGCCGGACAUACCUGCUGCCCCGUGUCUCAUUAUUCAUCCAUACAUGUCUGAAUAAGGAGCCUUCAGCUGCUCAGGUCUGCAUACAUCAUACAUCACAGUCAGUAUGAUAAUCAGCGAUGUACAGGACACACAGACUGACCUGAAUGGAAAUCAAUGAGGUGAUAAUUUAAAGUAUAAAAGUUCCAUCUUAUCCCCAUGUAUUGAUCAAUAUUUGAAAUGUGAUUAGGUUAAAUAAAAUAACCGUCCUCUUGUAAUGUU